UUCUGUCUAACCUUCUCCCGAUAAAGGAAUAAUCCUUAAAAACAACUUCAACCAAAACUUGCUUCCUAACCACAUAAAACAGCCCGAAACUCCCCCUCUCCGCAGACAGUGAUGUGAUUUUCCUGUCUUGAUCUUGCUCAUCCUUGAGACAACAGCUCCCUGGGGGAAUUCUGGCCGCCAAGAAUGUUAGAAGAGAGCAGCAUUUCUCUUGGUCAGCUCAAGGUCACUCACUGUAACGUCAGAAGUGGCAGCUCCCUGGGAUCUGAGAGCUGAACGACAAUUUUGCGUCCCAGUAGCUGUCUUUGUCCUUAAUCUGCCUGGGAGAGGUGAGCUGGAUUAGGAAUCAUGAAGCAAGGUGCCGUUCUGCACUCACCUCCUGCCCUCUCUGAACUCUUCAACACUGAGAAUGUUCGAGGCUGAGGAGUUGACAGGAUAACCUGAUAGUCGAGAACCUCCUUGGUGAGCUGAGGAAGACAGCCAUAAUAGAAAAGGUCAAAUCAUGGAGCAGUUCACAAUGAGAGUCCCACAAAGCCUUAGUCCCAUGGCUGUGUCUUCAGAUUUCCUUGACCAGUUGGAUUUGUCUCUUGAGAAGCAACAACAGGCAACUGAGGAGUGGAAGUGGAAGAAGUACGAUGUGGUAAGCAGGAUAAAGUUCUCCCGAAGGUGCUCAUCCCCAGAGCCCGUGAACAUGCUACUUUAAAUGACAAAGAAACCUUUGCAGGUUUAAUGAGUUAAAUAUUUUAGAAGAGAUUAUUCUUUUUCUCAGGCUCUUCCAUUCUUUACGUUGCUUCUUCCAUAAUGUCCCCUGAGUCUCAGUGCGGAUGAUUUAGAUGUCCCAUUUAGGGUUGGUUCCUACCCAGUACCAGUCACUUAUUCUCAACACUUUGACAACUAUCUCUAGAAGAUUCUCUUCUAUGGGUUCAGUUCUCUCCAGGCCCCACUAACUCCAAACCCUCUUUUAUCAGUUCAGGGUUCCCUUUAUUGUGAGUACAUGUUUCCAGUUUUAUCAACUUUGGAUUCCAUUCACCCCUGUAUACCGCUAAAUAUAGUCUCUUCAUAGGGCAGAUGGCUCAGUGGGCUAAGCCUUGGCCUUGUGAAACUGACAAUCUGAGUCAAUCCCCAGAACCCACAUGAAGGUGGAAAGAGAGAAAACAACUCCACAGAGCUGUCCUCUUACUUCCACAUGAUAAUGUGGAAAACACAUGCCCACACAUACGUCACACACAUAUUUAUUAAUAUUAAUAAACAAAAAUGAAGUCUGAUAAGCUCCAUGUGUAUGUGUGAGCUACGAGUCUCAAUAGGAAAUAUUCUUUCUUCUCUGUUUUGUAUUACUAACAUAAUCAUGUUGAUACCUAUCAUCUCUUUGUCUGUCUGUCUGUCUGUCUGUCUGUCUGU